CAUUAAUUUUCUCUUGCUCUCUGGUACUAUGAUGACCUUUUAAUUAAUUAUAUUUUUCGAUUUUGAACAUUUCAGGCAUUUGAAGAGUCAUCCUGUUGCGAAGUCGGUUUCCAAUAGUUUGUUCUUGUUCAGCAGCAUCAGCUGAUAUUUCAUCUGGGAGAAGAUUACUCGAACAAGCUUCAGCACCUUCUUCCGACUGUUCGAUUGCUACGUUCGUGUCCAAAUCUCCUUCAGGAAAAGAAUCCGCUAUCAAAAAUGGCUCCUGUCACUGUGUUGACCUGUGCUCCUGAAUCGAUCAAAAAUCUGCAUGGCAUUCCGGCAACGGUUGCCGUGAUUAAACCAUCAUUCUCGAUAUGCGCAAUCAUGGCGACAUUUUUGAUUGGCGAAAUCGGUACCGUUGAAAUUUUUGAUGCCAUCUACCAAACAGAAUAACACAAUGAUUAAAGUUCAAUCAAGGUUUAUUGUGAGAAAAAAACAUGUUUAACGAUAUGAUACAUGAGAAAUGGAUUUGAACGAACGAAAC